rnacentral:rRNA from 1 species
UACGGAGGGUGCUAGCGUUAUUCGGAUUUACUGGGCGUAAAGCGCAUGUAGGCGGAGCGGAAAGUUAGGAGUGAAAUCCCGGGGCUUAACCUCGGAACUGCUUCUAAAACUAUCGCUCUUGAGUUUGGUAGGGGAUAACGGAAUUUCUAGUGUAGAGGUGAAAUUCGUAGAUACUAGAAGGAACACCGGAGGCGAAAGCGGUUAUCUAGGCCAAUACUGACGCUGAGAUGCGAAAGCGUGGGGAGCAAACAGG